UUAAGCUACUAAGAGCGUAGGGUGAAUGCCUUGGCAUCAAGAGCCGAAGAAGGACGUGACAAGCUGCGAAAAGCCACGUGUAGGUGCAAAUAACUGAUAAAGCGUGGAUGUCCGAAUGAGGAAACUCAAUUAGAAGAAGAAGUCUAAUUAUUCAUACAUAAGUAAAGUAGUGUAUGAAGGGGAACGUUGGGAACUGAAACAUCUUAGUACCAACAGGAAAAGAAAGAAAACUCGAUUUCCAAAGUAGUGGCGAGCGAAAUGGAAAGAGCCCAAACCAUGAGAAGUAAUUCUUGUGGGGUAAAGGACUGCGUAAUUGAUUUAAAGAGGAUACAAGAAUUAUCUGGGAAGGUAGACCAAAGAAGGUGAAAGUCCUGUAAGGGAAAUCCGAAUUAACAUGGCAGUAUCCAGAGUAGUGCGAGACACGAGAAAUCUCGUAUGAAUAACGGGGGACCACCCCCGAAGGCUAAAUACUACUUGAUGACCGAUAGUGAAGAAGUACCGUGAGGGAAAGUUGAAAAGAACCCCUGAAGGGGAGUGAAAUAGAACCUGAAACCCUAUGUUUACAAGCAGACAGAGCACGUUAAGGUGCGAUGUUGUACUUUUUGUAGAACGGUCCGGCGAGUUAUUUUAUAUGGCAAGGUUAAGUACUGAAGGUACGAAGCCGAAGGGAAACCGAGUGUGAAGAGCGCGAAGAAGUCAUAUGAAAUAGACCCGAAACCGAGUGACCUAACCAUGUCCAGGAUGAAGCUUGAGUAAAAUCAAGUGGAGGUCCGAACUCAUAGACGUUAAAAAGUCUCGGGAUGAGGUGUGGUUAGCGGAGAAAUUCCAAUCGAACUCGGAGAUAGCUGGUUCUCCUCGAAAUAGUUUUAGGACUAGCCUUGAGAGAAUAAUGCGCGGGGGUAGAGCACUGAAUGAGCUAGGGGUCAAACCUGAUUACCGAACUCUAUCAAACUCCGAAUACCGUGUAGAGGAAACUCAGGAGUCAGACUGCGGGAGCUAAGUUCCGUGGUCAAAAGGGAAAGAGCCCAGAUCGUCAAAUAAGGUCCCAAAGAUAUAGUUAAGUGGAAAACGAUGUGAUUUUGCGUAAACAACCAGGAUGUUGGCUCAGAAGCAGCCACCCAUUUAAAGAGUGCGUAAUAGCUCACUGGUCGAGUGAAGUUGCGCGGAAAAUUACCGGGGCUAAACUAUACACCGAAUUUGCGGAUUUGUUACUUGAAAGAUAGUAAUAAGUGGUAGAGGAGCAUUCUAAGAGGACGAAGCAUAACUGAAAGGAUAUGUGGACGAAAUAGAAGAGAGAAUGCCGGAAUAAGUAGCGAAAGCAUAGUGAGAAUCUAUGCCAUCGAAAGUCUAAGGUUUCCUGGGGAAGGUUCGUCCGCCCAGGGUAAGUCGGGACCUAAGGAGAGGCCAAGAAGCGUAUCCGAUGGACAGCAGGUAGAAAUUCCUGCACUACGAUAUAUUGAGAAACUGUAACUGACACAGAAAUGGAAGGUAAGCGAGGAAGAGGAAAGACUCGUAUCGAAAGAUAUAGUGAAAAGCAAGUAACGAAUUACCAAGAAAUACGCUGGCGAGAAAAGGUUGCAGAAAUUGUAUAGAGUACCCGUACCGCAAACCGACACAGGUAGAUGAGGAGAAGAUCCUAAGAUGAGCGAGAGAAGCAUUGUUAAGGAACUCGGCAAACUGACCCCGUAACUUAGGGAGAAGGGGUGCCAAGGUAAAACUUGGUCGCAGAGAAUAGUCCCAAGCAACUGUUUAGCAAAAACAUAGGUUUCUGCGAAAUCGAAAGAUGAAGUAUAGGAGCUGACGCCUGCCCAGUGCUGGAAGGUUAAGAGGAGAUGUAAGAGCAAUCGAAGCAUUGAAUUUAAGCCCCAGUGAACGGCGGCCGUAACUAUAACGGUCCUAAGGUAGCGAAAUUCCUUGUCAGGUAAGUUCUGACCCGCACGAAAGGCGUAAUGAUUUG
rnacentral:rRNA from 1 species